UACGGGGGGGGCAAGCGUUGUUCGGAAUUACUGGGCGUAAAGGGCUCGUAGGUGGCCAACUAAGUCAGACGUGAAAUCCCUCAGCUUAACUGGGGAACUGCGUCUGAUACUGGAUGGCUUGAGUUCGGGAGAGGGAUGCGGAAUUCCAGGUGUAGCGGUGAAAUGCGUAGAUAUCGGGAGGAACACCGGUGGCGAAGGCGGCAUCCUGGACCGGUAUUGACGCUGAGGCGCGAAAGCUAGGGGAGCAAACGGG
rnacentral:rRNA from 1 species